rnacentral:lncRNA from 1 species
AUGUAUAAGUAGAUUCCCAACGCUUAACAUGUUAUGGGUUGCUGAGGGAUUUAUAAAGCCAAUUGCACAUAAUAAUUUGGAGGAAGUGGCAAAGAAGUAUUUGGAAGAACUUAUUGAUAGAAAUCUAAUUAUGGUUCAUUACCGGAUUUACACUGGUGAAAUCAUAACCUGCAGCAUCCAUGACAUAAUGAGAGAACUGUGUGUGAGGAAAGCUCAGGAGGAAAAGUUUCUUUACAUUACCGAUCAAAAAGUUGAGAUUUCUCUGGAAGUCAUGAAAAAUCAGCGUCAUCUAAGUAUUCAUCGAAAAAUGCAGUAUGACAUAUCGGACAUAUAUGACCCAACUAUCCGUUCGCUUCUAUACUUCACAGAUAGUCUAUUGCCAAAUUCUCUAUGUUUUCAGCUGCUCAAGGUGUUGGAAGCAGGCGAUAUAAAUUUCUCUAAGUUUCCAAUUGAAAUAGUAAAACUUGUUAAUUUAAGGUAUAUUGCCACCGCCGGCGAGGAGCGGCAGUGGCGCUCGUUGGCACAGUCUAGGGCAGCGGCGAGCAGCAGCCUCUCGCUGGAGGAAUUUACUGUAGUAGCGUCGUGCGCUGCUACAGACUCAGGAAGUCGCCCGAGGAAAGGGGCGGCGACCAUCAAUUGAAGCGAAACAAAAAUUUUUUUUUUUAGGUUUUUAGUCGGUUUUGGGGAAUUGGAGGCGGGGGCCUCUGAUGCAAUUUGUGAAAUUUCAAGCCCCCGUUUGCAAUAUCCAUUUGGGGUCAAUUUGUGAGUUAUUUAAGUAAGGGACCGUUUUGAAUUAUUUGAUAUUGAAGACCCUUGUAAUUUCACUUCGGUGGUAAAGUUGUAAUUUUCAAAUAAGGGCCUAUUCUUGUAAUUUGUGAAAUUGCGAGGGUUGGUUCUGAAAUUUUUGAAAAUUUGAGACUUUGAUUAUAAAUUUUGACUUGGGUCAAAUUUCAAUUUCCAAAUGUUUUUGAAUUGGUUUUAAAAUUGUUUUUCAAAUGGGUUUUGACCUAUUUUGGCUAAAGUUUUAAUUUUGACUCAAAUUAAAAAUCUUAUUUAUUAAUUGACGACAUUUUAUAUUUUCGUUAAAAUUGGAUUUUAACUUAAAUAUUAUACUUUGACCUCAAUUGAAUUUUAUUUUAUUUAGGAAUGUUAUCCUAAAUUAAAAUAUUAAUUCAUUUUAAUUUAGAGUUGGACUCUAAUUUAGCAUUUAAUUAAAAUUAGAUUUUAUUUAAUUAUUCACCCCGAAUAUAUUCUAGAAAUUAGAAUUCGAUUCUAAUUUGACAUUUAAUUAAAAUUUGAUGUUAAUUAAAUUAUCCCGCCCUAAAUUUCUUCUUAAAAUUAGAGUUGGAGUCUAAUUUUACCAUUUAAUUAAAAUUUGAUUUUGAUUAAAUUUGUUCGCCCUUAAAUUUUGAAAUUAGAGUUUGACUCUAAUUUGAUAUUUAAUUAAAAUUUGAUUUUAAUUAAAUUAUCCCGCCAUAUAAUUGUCGAAUUAGAAUCGGACUUUAAUUCGGUAUUUAAUUAAAAUUUGAUUUUAAUUAAAUAUGCCCGCUAAUUAAAUAAUUGAUUAAUAUGAUUAAUUGAUUAUUUAAUUAUUCCGAUCCAUAAAUCUAAAAGAGUUUAGAUGAUGUUAACUUGAAACAUGUUAGGAUAUAAUAUUAGAUAUUAUAUAGGUAUACAUUUAUGUGAUGAAUGUAUUAUUAGUGGACGAUUAUGGACUCGACUAUAUGGAUGUGUUGAAUGGUUAAUCAUUGUUAUUAUUGUUACUAUGGGCCUGCGAGCUCUUAAUUGUUUUGGGUCUGCGAGCCCAUUAUUAUUGUUAUUAUUUUGGACCUGCGAGUCCAUUAUUAUUAUUGUUACUAUGGGCCUGCGAGACUCAUGAAUGCAAAAUCCCUCCAUAAAAUAUUAAGUCACAUUUGUAAUCGCCUUCCAUCAUUAUAGUGAAAAAUCAGAGUCCCAAAUCGUCUCAGCUUGUUGAGUACACUCAAGGCUGGUCCAUUAGGAAUAUGUUUGACACUAUGGAAUAUUUGAUAUUUCUGAAUGAUGGGUUUGACUUAACUAAAAUUUAUCUUUUGUUGAGUACACUCAAGGAGAUAAAUUUUAGAGGCAUAUUAAGCUAACACAUAAGAUGUGUGAAAACAAAGAGUUGUCAGCUUAAUAAUUUGGGAGUUGUAUGGAGAUACAAUUGAUAAUAGUAUCUACCCAAAUAUUAUAUUAGGGCUUGUUGAAUAUACUCAAGGUCUUAAUAUAAUAGAUGAGAUCCCAACCCACUGGGAGUCAAGUAUGGACUCCAUAAAUUUAUGUAAGAGGGUCAUAAAUUUUAUUUAAACAGUGGGAGCAUAAUUAAUUUAAUAAAAGACCAUAUUAAAUUAAUUGAUGCAUUUUAUAUAUUAUUCUUUCCUUUUUGUCAUUUAUAUUUAUUGAAUCUGAGUAACCAUAUGUUUUGAAUGGCAUACUAGAUGCCAACAACCAAACUAUAUUUUCUUAAUUGACACUGCAAUCUAAGAAUUGUUCUUAUGCAUGAGAAAAUUGGUCACGUCCUUGAGUAGCCAUUUCCAGAGACACCUGGUGAUGACUCGAUUAAAGAAGAGGUGGCUACUAUAGUAAACGCAGUGAUGAUAAUAGAACUGCAACGUAUAUGAUACUUGCAGCUAUGUCACUGAGUUAUAAAAGCGACUUGAAAGUAUAGAUGUUGACACAUAAUCCUUCAUUAUAAAGGGUUAUAUGAUAAUAAUCGUGUGUGGAAGGAUAUGAGACUUCCGAACAACUAUACGUGUGCAAAAUGACAGAGUAAUCUUCAAUCGAUACUUAGACACUGACGAUGAUUGACGUUGAGAAAUGUCUCAAUUGAGUUCAAUUACAAACCAUGAACUAAGUAGUGACUUGGUUCUGCAAUCUCUCUCAGAGAAAGCUAUUCAUAACUAAUUAUGAAAUUAACGUGAAUAAGCAUGAAUGCGCAAUUAUUGAGUUGCUUAAUAUGCUUAAGACUGUUAAGCCCAACAUCAAAGUUAGUAGUGGGCAAGUCAUUGAUUCCUCUAAAAAUAUUAAGAGGAAGGGGCUUUGUGAAAGCGUCCAAUAUGGUCAAGACAGUGUAAGCAAAUGAUAAUACCAAAUAUAAUGACCCUUGGUUUCAUUAUAGAAUGAAAGGUCAUUAGAAGGAAUAUUGUAUGGCUUACGUCUAUUUCACAAGUUUCUUAGGUAUCUGAUACCAGAUAUAAAUCCCAUAUUUAUAUAAAUAUGGAGAAACUAAAUAGAAGUAUAAUACUGCGAAAGGAAGAAGUUAACCUACAUGAUGGAGAUGAACAAAUGUUGCUGCAUUGCUUGUAGGAGCAUACUUCUUACCGUUGCCCUUUGACUUAGUAAUGGAAUUAGAGAAAUGUUGCUUUGUACCCACUAUAGCUAGAACAUUAAAAUGAAUUUCAUGUUCAGACAUGAAGCAUUUUAAUGUUAAGAACAAUUGUUGUUCCUGCAUAUCUUGAUUAAGAUCUUAAUAGUUGUGGUAAGUUACAAAAUAACAUUUGUAUUCUAAAUACUAAGGAUUCUAUAAUGAGUAUAGAAAUUAUAAGGCAUAAAUGCGAUAAUCUAAUUAUUAUCGAGAUCUGGCAUGACAGACUUUGUCAUAUAGAUAAAAAGUAAUUCCAAAGUUACAUAGAGAUGUAUACUUGGGAUUAACUGAUUUUGACAAGUACAAAUUAUGCAUGUCUGGUACAAUGACCAAAUCUUCUUUUAAUUGAAAAGAAGAAAGGUCAGCAUAAUUACUGGUCUAAUACAUAGUGAUGCAUAUGGACUCAUGUCAAAAGAUGCCAGGUAAUGUUUCUCUUAUUUCAUCAAUGAUCAUGGAUACUUGAUGAAAACUCAAACAUGAAAUUCUUGAAAAAGUUCAAGGGAUUCAAACUAGAAGUAGAGAAACAAAUAGGUAAAGAUACCCACACAUUAAGAUUUGACCAAGUGAGAGUAUUUUAAAGAUAAAAUUUAGAUUAUCUAAGAGAGAAUGUGAUUCUCGUGCAGUGGACUCUUUUAUAUACACUGCAGCAAGAUGGUGUAUCUAAAAGGAGGAAUCGUUAAUUAUUACAUAUAAUGCGAUUAAUAACGAGCCAUGCAAAUUUCUCAAAAUUGUUUUGAGGUCACGCAUUGAUUGCAGUAUGCAAUACACUAAACUAUGUCCCAUCUAAAUUGGUUAACAGAACUCCAUACGAGUUAUGGAAAGACAAUAGUCCCAAUUUGUCUUGUAUGAAAGUUUGGGGCCAUGACGCUUAUUUGAAGCGCCUUAAAUCGGAUAAGUUUGAGACUGAAUCCGAUAAAUACAUAUUUGUGGGAUAUUCAAAUGAGACAUUUGAAUAUAAAUUCUAUUAUCAUGAAGAAAGUCUUCACCUCACGACAUAUCGUCUUCUUAGAGAAAAUGUUUACUCUUGGAGAAGACAGUGGGAGUAAAAUAGAAUUUGAAAGAGUUCAAGAAUCCACAGAUAUAAUUAACCAAGUAGAUAAAUCCGAGUUUGAUCCCAUAUCUGAUAUGGGACAUACUUUGGAUGAGGAAGUAAAGACUCAUGAGGACAUGACGGCUCUAUGUGAAUCUAGUAGGAUCAUUCGACCUUCAAGAAGGUGCGAAUCCAUGAUCAUUAAUCAGGUAUUAGUGAUCCAGGGCAUGAACCUGCUAGUUGCAACAAAAUAAAGUCAAGUGUUGACUUAAAAGAGACAGCAUGAGGCCAUGAUACUCUAGAUGAACUCGGCGUAUGUGAACAAGGUUUGGACCUUGGUUAAGCCUCCUAAUGGAAUAAAGUCCAUAAGCUUUUGUAAAUAGUUUACAAAAGAAAAGGUCGAUAUGGAUAUAAAUAUGAAUAUCCAUAUAUACAAAGCAAGGCUAGAAGUAGAGGUUAAAUGUUGACCUUGGUGAAAUAUUUCUCCUGUAGCCUUGCUUAAGUCCAUUCGGGUUUUGUUUGCAACAGUUUCAUAUCGUGACUAUAGGUUAAUAGAAGUCUCUUGGAGCUGAAAUCUUAGAUUUGAUGAAAAUUCAAAGUGUUUGAUUUUAUCAAAUUUGGAAGACGAAUUGUGUAUUUACAAGAAGAUAGUGGGAGCAUUGUCGUGUUCCUAAUAUUAAAGAAAACGAUAUCCCUAUGUUUCAAUCGUUGAAAAAUGGUUGUUAAAUGAUUUAUUCAUAAACGAAAUGGGAUAAGCAACUUGAUUUAUAGAGGUAGAUCUAGAAGAUUGCUUAACUCAUCCCAAUUUACAUAGAUGAAAUCUUGAGAAGAUUUCAUAUGGAGAAACUGGUUUACUCUUAAGCGGUAUAUUGGAAAGGUUCCAAACGUGAAGCAACCGUUGAUUCAAUAGUAGAAACCUAAUACAUGGAUACUUCAGAAGUAGCAAAGAGUUGCAAUAUGGAUCAUGAUGUUCAUAAAUGAACUUGGAGUAGUUCCUGAUAUUGUUGAUCACAUACAAUAGUAUUGUGAUAACAAUAGAGCCAUUGUGAAAGCAAAGGAACUAAGAUCUCAUCAAUGAUCCAAACAUGUAUUAAGGCGGUAUAAUUUCAUCAGAGAGAUAAUACAUAGAAAUGACGUAAAGAGAAGAACAAAUUUCCACAUUUAAUAAUAUUGCAGAUCCACUGACAAAGAGUUGUCGUAGUAUAAACAAGAUCGUCAUGUAGACUUAUGAUAUUUGAUACAUAAGUGAUUGGAUCUAGUGCAAGUGGGAGUUUGUAAGUAUUAUGCCCUAAAUCCAAUCAACUUUGAACAUAAAUACUUUUAUAUAUAUAAUUAAUGCAAUUAAAUGACAGAUUUAUUAUUUAAUUAAUAGACGAUUAAAUAAAUAAUAGAGUCCGUAGAUUCAAAUCUUUGUAAUUUGUUAAUUACAAGGAGUUGUGAUUGUGAGAUACAAAUUACAUCUGAUUGAAUCUUAAAUCAUCCGUGGUCAUAAGUAAUAAUGAGAUACGAAAAUCGUUAUUACGGAUAGACCAUCACAUGUGGCAUUUCUUACUUGUGAAGUAAGUAGCUGAUCUCACAAGCUAAAGUGUGGAGACACUUAAAUGAACACGUGGAUGUUUUGUUAUAGAACAAAACAUUGGAGACCCGGCGAGAGAUUCCACAUGGAUAACUAUCUGAGUGUCAGUGGUUAAUCUCUAACGUUCGGUAGUGGAAUUGGUCCUUUGACUUGAGGUCGUCAUGGUACCUUAUAUGAGGACAGUCAUACUUUGGCGAUGUUGGAUGUUGCUCUGAAAAGGGCCGCUAAUACGACAUUGUUCAGGUGCGUCAAGAAUCGUAUGAAGGUUGUGAUUGAUCAAUAAAGGAUUCGUCACUCUUAGAUAGUAGGAGAUUAUGAUCUGCGUUUCAUUCAAUUAAGUCAAUAAUGAAAUCCUUGGCUAAGGUGUACUCAUAAGUCGAAAAGGAGUUUUCGAUUUAUAUUGACUUAAUAGUGGAGUGAAAGAUAUGAUCGAUGACAAAGAUUGACACAAUUCCAUAUCUCGUAAUUGAUCGGAUCAUAUUGACGAAGGGAUUAUAGUUUCAAGAUAAACGAACGAAUUUGGUUUUGUCAUACCACGCGACAUUUUUCGUCACAUGUAUUGCCCUGACACAUUGCUAGAUGUCACUCAGGGACGGCGAGUGUGAAUUGACGAUAAAUUAAAAGGGUGUUUUAAUUUAUCAAUUUUGAUUAGAUCAAAAUAAUAUUUCACAUCGUUAGGCAUCGUGGUCGGGAACCUAAUGGGUCUCACACGAAAGAGAAUUGGAAGAUUGCAAAUUGCCAAUUGGUUAAUUUAACAAUCAUUGGAUAAAUUAAUUAAUUGGAUUUGUUAUUUAUAUUCCCGAAUUAAUUAAUUGGAUUAAUUAAUUCACGGACCGGGUUUAAUUAAUUGGAUUAAUUAAAUAUUGGACCGGACCGGGGCCGAGCCCAUUUGGGUUUAUAUAAAUAUAUAGCUAGGGUUUGAGGUCCAAAUGGUUUUCAUUAUUCUUGCUGGCACAAGAGAAAACCCUAGAAGCUGCAAUCUUAUUCUCUGUGUGGAUCACCGUUGGAGGCUGGACAAUUGGACAGCUGUGGUGACGAAUCAAGGUUGAUGGAACGAAAAGAAAAGCAGAAAGAUUGCAGGUCUGAAAAAGGUAAAAUCUUAUCACAAUUUCUAUCUAAACACAAAGGCGAUUCUUGGUGGGAAUCGAAAAUUAUUUUAAAUUCCGCUGUGCAUGUAUAAGUAGAUUCCCAACGCUUAACAUGUUAUGGGUUGCUGAGGGAUUUAUAAAGCUAAUUGCACAUAAUAAUUUGGAGGAAGUGGCAAAGAAGUAUUUGGAAGAACUUAUUGAUAGAAAUGUAAUUAUGGUUCAUUACCGGAUUUACACUGGUGAAAUCAUAACCUGCAGCAUCCAUGACAUAAUGAGAGAACUGUGCGUGAGGAAAGCUCAGGAGGAAAAGUUUCUUUACAUUACCGAUCAAAAAGUUGAGAUUUCUCUGGA